rnacentral:rRNA from 1 species
GAGUUUGAUCUUGGCUCAGGACGAACGCUGGCGGCGUGCCUAACACAUGCAAGUCGAGCGAAGAUGUAUCUUCGGAUAUGUUUUAGCGGCGGGACGGGUGAGUAACACGUGGGCAACCUGCCUUAGUGAGGGGGGAUAGCCUUCCGAAAGGAAGAUUAAUACCGCAUAAUAUAUCGAUGCCACAUGGUAUUGAUAUCAAAGGAGUAAUCCGCACUAAGAUGGGCCCGCGGCGCAUUAGCUAGUUGGUGAGGUAACGGCUCACCAAGGCCACGAUGCGUAGCCGACCUGAGAGGGUGAUCGGCCACAUUGGAACUGAGACACGGUCCAGACUUCUACGGGAGGCAGCAGUGGGGAAUAUUGCACAAUGGGGGAAACCCUGAUGCAGCAACGCCGCGUGAGUGAAGAAGGUCUUCGGAUCGUAAAGCUCUGUUGUAUGGGACGAUAAUGACGUACCAUACAAGGAAGCCAACGGCU